rnacentral:lncRNA from 1 species
AAAUUAUCCAGGUGUCGCUAUCCAAUUGGACAUUAUAUCAUUAAUUACAUUUAACAUUAAAAAUCUCUUUCUUUUUUUAUGUUUUCUUUGCUUAUUCCUUUUUUAUUUUUCUUCUUUCUCUUUCUCUCUCUUCAUUUUCACCAAACCCACCCGCCACCACCCCACCUCCCCGUUCUCCUCCAUCCCACCACUCUCUUUUCCAUCAUUUCCUCUGCCUUACUUAUAUUCUUUAUUGAUUUCCAUUCCCGACAUCUCCUUCAGCUUUCACUCAUAUAUCAUUCCUUUUAGCUUAAGUGUCCAAUUAACAUUCAAUUACUAGACCCCAUAGCAGCCCAAGACCUACAGAUCCAUUCACUAGCACUAUGUAAUUCCAUGAAUCUGCCUCCAAUUUCCAUUUUUGUCUCUUUCCUACUACCUACACAUGAAAAUUUCACUUUCAGAACUCGAAGUCUAUUUUUGAAAAGUAAACCGCGCCCCCUCCAAUCCAUCAAAUUGAAGAAUAAAGAGAGAAAAAAGGAAGAAGAAGAAGAAAAAAAGAAAACAUUUGUUCUCAGUUACAGAACUUAUUAACAGUCUUCGACAAACAGAGUAGCCCUUCAAGUUCCAUCUUUUUUUCCAACCCACAACCAUUUUUCUACGUAGCUUUCUAAACUAGCUCUUGAUUCUUGAAAGAUCAAAUGCUUGUGGAGAACCUCGUACUUCAUGUGAGAGAUAUAGAUAAAGGAGGAGAAAUGACGAAGCUAGUAAUAGAGAAGGAAAGAAGGAAGAAGGUUCUAAUAAGUUUAACAUAAAUUAAAAUAAUUGGGUAUUAUAUGUGUCAGGUGCGUGUAAAAUACCACCAAACAUAGCUCUGGAACUCUUUCAACGAGGUGGUAUUAUUUCCAGUUCAGGCAAAAAAUAAGGGAGUAAAUGUUAUAUUACCCUUAGAUUUAACAUGAGAAAAGGGUAAUUAAAUGUUAUGGCUGUUAAUAAUUCAGUAAAUUAUGAAGAUUCACAAGAAAACGAAUCAGAAGUGUAAAUUUCAAUUAAUUGAAGAUUGAAUGUGUUUAGUCAAAUAUCACAAGAACCAUAGUCGGAAAUUUUCGAUAUUUGAGGAACUACAAGUGCAAAUUCCUUUUGAAAAUUGACUAAGUCAACAUCAUUUUCAAAAUUUUAGACAAGAUUUGGAGUUCUGACCAUAUGACUACAUAAACCAAAAAGGAAAUAUACCAACAACAUCAUCACAAAGAAUUAUUAGGUGAGAUACAAAUACAUACUCCCUCUGUCCCAAUUUAUAUGAGUUACUUUCCUUUUUAGUCCGUUCCAAAAAGAAUCACAUUUCUAUAUUAAGUAACAAUUUAACUUUAAAAUGCCCACCUUAAUGAAAUGAUUUAUAGCCACACAAACAUCUAUCGCUUAUUUUAGACCACAAGUUUCAAAAGUCUUUCUUUCUUUCUUAAACUCUGUAUCAAGUCAAACUAACUCAUAUAAAAUGGGCAUAGUGAGUACCAUUUUUAUACCUCAUGAAACAGAAGUAACUAAUAACAAAAAUUAUCUCACAAACUAAUUUAGUCCCAUUACAACUCAAAGUAAGUUAUUUGAAUAUGUAUUCAGUUAAAUUUUUAUCAAAUUUGGUACAAAAAUAUCAACAUAGAAUACAUGUGGAACACAUGUACUAAGCGACUAUAUAAAGAUAUACAUACACACACACCUACAGAUACACAUGACUUGCUUAAGAGUUACAAAACUCGCAACCCCAAUAUAAGAAGACAUAUGAUCUAAGAGAAAGCGAUCCUCCCAAAGCAAAAACAAACCUCAUGAGUUUUUCCUGCUGGAACACUCACUUCCUUGUACUCAUCACUUUUUCUGCAUUUGGAAACCAAAAGAAAGCUCUAGAUCAAGUUGUGAAAAUUAUAUCAAUUAUUGUCUUACAUUUAGUCCAACAAUGACAAAAUGUACUUGAAGCCACCAUAGAGAGGAAUUCUGGAUACCUGGCUUCUAAUGUACCAGCUUCUUCUGCAGUAAUAAAGAAAGGGGAAUUUGCAAAUACGUCUCUGCAAGAGUUUAGUAAAUCCAGUUAAACAAGUACCAAAUUAUGUUACUUACUACACCCUCAAAUUCAAUAGCAAAUGGUCCUCUUGUGAUGUGAGUCAAUAUCUACACAUUUUGGCAUACAAGUUCACCCUUGUUGCCUUUCCACACACACAAAAAAAAAAAACCUUUUGAGUCUGUCAAGCUUCUUUGCCACACUGGAAGGGAUAGGGAACAAGGACAUCACAUAGGUGGGCAGUGAGUCUAAGACAGUUGAUUAGAGUAACCCUUCCCCCUAAUGAUAGAUAUUGUGUUUUCCACUGGGAUAACCUCUUCUUUGUCUUCUCUAUAAUACUGUUCCAGAUCUCCACAUCUUUGUGCCUGAUUCCUAGGGGCAUACCUAAGUAGACAGUAGGUAAUUUGUCCACCCUACACCCUAAAAUGCCAGCCAAGGUCUGAAUACUACUCACUUCUUUGAUGGGAGAUAUGUUACUCUUUCUCUAAUUUACUUUCAAGCCAGAAACAGCUUCAAAGACCACUAGCAUCACUCUGAUGUACUGGAGGUCUGUCACCAGCUCCUCCCCAUCAUUCAACUUGAAACUCCUCAACCAGUUGUUUUGGAGUAUUGUUCUCACCAUGCUGCUCAGGCCUUCCAUUGCAAUAAUGAAUAGGAAGGGGGAUAGUGGAUCUCCUUGUAUGCUGCCCCUUUCAGAGGGAAAAACCAAACAGGUAGAAUGGAAAACUUGACAGUUUUAUUACAACAACUUAUCCAUUUUAGCCAUCUAUCUCCAAAUCCUAUUUUGGCUAGAUCAUUCGACACUGUUUCUGAGGUCGGGCAGUCGGGGGAUGAAUUACCUCGGGAAUUGAGAUUGUGUCUGCUGUGGGGUGGAUGAUGUCGAAUUGCAUGGGAAUUUUGACCGUCUCCCGGUGCUUGAUUUCGUUGAUCAAAGCUUCGUAGAUCAGUGAUUUCGACAUAAUUUAUUGAGAUCGCGUCUGUUGGGAUUACUUUUCAGUUUUAUUGCAUUACAAGGGGGGGAACAGAUCAGUGAUAUAGCAGAUCCAUAGACAUUUGAAAUGGGGUUUUAAAGAAAUGUGAGAAGAAACUUACCGGAUGGAAGAGCCAGUAUCUUUCUUUAGGUGGCAGGCUAAUUCUCAUAAACAGUGUCCUGGAUGCUCUACCUAACUACAUGAUGUCUCUUUUCCCUUUUCCCCUUUAGGUUGAAAAGAAUUGAUAUGUUGAGAAGCAAUUUUUUGUGGCAAGGAAACAAGGAUAAAAGAGGAAUCCAUCUUGUCAAAUGGAAAACGCUGACACUCAACAAACAACAAGGGCGGCUUGGUAUAAAGAAUCUAAGGAAGCAGAAUCAAAGUUUGCUCAUGAAGUGGCUAUGGAGAUAUUCAAAUGAAAACAAAUCACUCUCGAAGAGGGUGAUUAAAGAGAAGUAUGGAGAAGAUGAUGCAUGGAAGACCAAAACAGUAAACACUGUAUUUGGGGUCAGUGUCUGGAAAACUGUUAGAAAUCUAUGGCAUAUUUUCAGUAACAACAUUGGAUGGUCACAAAAUUUCUCUUUGGGAAGACAACUGGUAAGGAUCUGGCCCCCUCAGACUUCUAUACCCAGAUGUUUUCUUACUGAAUCAACAACAAAGAGCUAAUAUUACUGAAGUCUGGAAUAAUCAAGGUUGGGACCUCAGUUUCAGAAGGCUCUUAAAUAAUUGGGAGAUGGACAGAUUCACACGACUCCUCAACACUCUCAACCUAUUCAAUGGAGUCUCACUAGAGCAAGAUAGAUAAUGGCAAUUGAGAGACAGUUCAUGAGCUAUUUUAGUCAAGACAACAUAUCAUACGAGGAACCAUAACAAUAAUCUUAGUGUGCAAUGGCCCUGGAAGCAAUUAUGGAAGGCCAAGAUACCAUACAAAGUCGCAUGUUUUGUUUGGUUGGUAGUUAAGAAGGCUCGCUUGACGCAAGACAAGAUUGAAGAGAAGGGGAAUACACCUUUCCUCUAGCUGCCAUCUAUUUUGGAAGAAAUGCAGAAACAAAUUGUCAUCUUUCUUUGCGCUGUAAGGUGACUUCUCAACAGUGGGAUACAUUUCUAGCAAUGAUUGGUUUGAGCUGGACAAUGCCAAUGAAUAGACUAGAUAUGCUAUCUAGCUGGAGUAGGUAACAAGGAACAAAAGCUCAAAAAAGCAGUUGGAGUAUGAUCCCAGGCUGCAGAUGGUGGACUAUCCAGAAGGAAAGAAAUUCAAGAUGUUUUGAGAUGAAAGGAAUCCUAUCCAGAAGAUAAAGCUUAAUUGUAUUCUGCUUUUGCAUUUGUGGUGUAAACAAGAGUAUAUAAGUGACAUAGAGACUCUCGUACAGUUCAAAGAGUCUCUAUAGUUAUCUAACAAAUUUUUGUGUUGUAACUUUGGCCUGGUUUCAUUACAAAUAUGUUACAAUUCAAAAAAAAAAAAAAAAGUUCCUCUCUUAGACUAAAUCACUGUUAUGAAAGGUGUGCUUAAGCCCUGAAGCGAGGCUCAAAAUGUGUUGAGCGCUUCACCUCGCUUAAUGCCCGCUUCCGUGUCAUCAUCAAGGUUCUAAGACAUACUUUUCCUUGCCAAUGAACCUCUUCUGAAGAUUGGACACUAAACAAUUGAUAUUUUACUUUAUCGUAAUUAUUUUUCUAUUUCUUUGUUCAUAUAUUUGCCGUUCAUGCUUAUAAAUUAUUAAGUCUUGGACUAAACAUAUAUAUUUGUAUUUUUUUCUCCCUUUGCGCCUUUUUUCACAAAACCCAUGCUUUAUUUGCGCUUAAAGCUCCAACAGACCUUAGAGCUUUUUUGUGCUUUUUGAGAUAAGGGUAACUGUGUAUUCACAAAAGUCUCAUCAUCAGAAAAUGAUGAGCAUAGGUCACUUACAAUCUCAUCAGAGCAUAUCAACUACCACUAGAGAGAUUACAAAUUGCAUAUGAAAUCAACAA